GACGAACGCUGGCGGCGUGCUUAACACAUGCAAGUCGAACGGAAAGGCCCUGCUUUUGUGGGGUGCUCGAGUGGCGAACGGGUGAGUAACACGUGAGUAACCUGCCCUUGACUUUGGGAUAACUUCAGGAAACUGGGGCUAAUACCGGAUAGGAGCUCCUGCUGCAUGGUGGGGGUUGGAAAGUUUCGGCGGUUGGGGAUGGACCCGCGGCUUAUCAGCUUGUUGGUGGGGUAGUGGCUUACCAAGGCUUUGACGGGUAGCCGGCCUGAGAGGGUGACCGGCCACAUUGGGACUGAGAUACGGCCCAGACUCCUACGGGAGGCAGCAGUGGGGAAUAUUGCACAAUGGGCGGAAGCCUGAUGCAGCAACGCCGCGUGCGGGAUGACGGCCUUCGGGUUGUAAACCGCUUUCGCCUGUGACGAAGCGUGAGUGACGGUAAUGGGUAAAGAAGCACCGGCUAACUACGUGCCAGCAGCCGCGGUGAUACGUAGGGUGCGAGCGUUGUCCGGAUUUAUUGGGCGUAAAGGGCUCGUAGGUGGUUGAUCGCGUCGGAAGUGUAAUCUUGGGGCUUAACCCUGAGCGUGCUUUCGAUACGGGUUGACUUGAGGAAGGUAGGGGAGAAUGGAAUUCCUGGUGGAGCGGUGGAAUGCGCAGAUAUCAGGAGGAACACCAGUGGCGAAGGCGGUUCUCUGGGCCUUUCCUGACGCUGAGGAGCGAAAGCGUGGGGAGCGAACAGGCUUAGAUACCCUGGUAGUCCACGCUGUAAACGGUGGGUACUAGGUGUGGGGUCCAUUCCACGGGUUCCGUGCCGUAGCUAACGCUUUAAGUACCCCGCCUGGGGAGUACGGCCGCAAGGCUAAAACUCAAAGGAAUUGACGGGGCCCCGCACAAGCGGCGGAGCAUGCGGAUUAAUUCGAUGCAACGCGUAGAACCUUACCUGGGUUUGACAUGGAUCGGGAGUGCUCAGAGAUGGGUGUGCCUCUUUUGGGGUCGGUUCACAGGUGGUGCAUGGCUGUCGUCAGCUCGUGUCGUGAGAUGUUGGGUUAAGUCCCGCAACGAGCGCAACCCUUGUUCACUGUUGCCAGCACGUUAUGGUGGGGACUCAGUGGAGACCGCCGGGGUCAACUCGGAGGAAGGUGGGGAUGACGUCAAGUCAUCAUGCCCCUUAUGUCCAGGGCUUCACGCAUGCUACAAUGGCUGGUACAGAGAGUGGCGAGCCUGUGAGGGUGAGCGAAUCUCGGAAAGCCGGUCUCAGUUCGGAUUGGGGUCUGCAACUCGACCUCAUGAAGUCGGAGCCGCUAGUAAUCGCAGAUCAGCAACGCUGCGGUGAAUACGUUCCCGGG
rnacentral:rRNA from 1 species